rnacentral:rRNA from 1 species
GACGAACGCUGGCGGCGUGUCUAAUACAUGCAAGUCGAACGCCGUGGGGACGGGUGAGUAACACGUGGGUAACCUCCCAUCAGAGGGGAUAACACUCGGAAACAGGUGCUAAAACCGAUAUUGACGGAGGGACCCGCGGUGCAUUAGCUAGUUGGAGCGGUAACGGCUCGCCAAGGCCACGAUGCAGAGCCGACCUGAGAGGGUGAUCGGCCACACUGGGACUGAGACACGGCCCAGACUCCUACGGGAGGCAGCAGUAGAGAAGCUUCGGCAAUGGACGAAAGUCUGACCGGGCAACGCCGCGUGAGUGAAGAAGGUUUUCGGAUCGUACAACUCCGUUGUUAUAGAAGCGGUAUCUAACCAGAAAGCCACGGCUAACUACGUGCCAGCAGCCGCGGUAAUUC